rnacentral:rRNA from 1 species
CCCGCUCAGAAAACUCAAAGGAAUUGACGGGGGCCCGCACAAGCGGAGGAGCAUGUGGUUUAAUUCGAUGAUACGCGAGGAACCUUACCUGGGCUCAAAUGUAUGUUGACGUAUUCUGAAAGGGAUACUUCUUCGGACAAUAUACAAGGUGCUGCAUGGUUGUCGUCAGCUCGUGCCGUGAGGGUGUCGGGUUAAGUCCCAUAACGAGCGCAACCCCUAUCAUUAGUUGCCAUCAGGUCAAGCUGGGGACUCUAAUGAGACUGCCAUCGUAAGAUGUGAGGAAGGUGGGGAUGACGUCAAAUCAGCACGGCCCUUACGUCCGGGGCGACACACGUGUUACAAUGGGUGGUACAAAGGGCAGCUACCUGGCGACAGGAUGCUAAUCUCCAAAACCACUCUCAGUUCGGAUCGGAGUCUGCAACUCGACUCCGUGAAGCUGGAUUCGCUAGUAAUCGUGGAUCAGCCAAGCCGCGGUGAAUACGUUCCCGGGCCUU